UAACACCAAUUCUCUAUCUAUCUUCAUCUCUCCCUAAGACUGAAACCCAAAUCCGAAAAGCAGAAAGCAGAAAAUCAGAAACACGCACCAAAUCCAAAUCUGAAUCACACAUCCCUUCCCCUCCAUCUUCUUCGUCAUUCUUUUUUCUCACGCUCUCAUAUCCCGCUCCAUUGUCUCUUAAAUCCAAUCCAGGCCCAAAAACCCUAAUACCUAAAACACAAAUCCUAACCUCUCAGCUCCAAUACCCACAUCUCUUAUGCUCUCCUCUCGAUUUUGUACUUUUAUGUUAUGUGUUUGUGUGAAUUGAUGACUGUCUUAAUUUUUAUGAGGUUUGAGUUGAUUUUUCGAUCCAUGAUAGAUAUCCAAAUGCCAGGGUAGAAAUUUUGGUUUCCAAAUCGGCAAGCUGAGCAUGAAUCGUAUUUUUAGUUCAUCCUCGCGACUCUGCUUUGCCUCGUUUUGAAAGGUUCAGCAAAUAAUUGCUAGUUGUAGAGGUUUUGGUUUCCGGUACAUUUGGUUAAACUGGGUUAGAGAUUGUGGAAUUUGGUUGGUAAUGCUGCUCAGUGCUCACUCUCAGAUUCUUUCAUUAAGGGCAAUGGGAUUUCCAACUAUGUUCUUCCCAGUUUUGUUUGCAAUCCCUCGAGUUCUUCCCACUUCUGGUGGCUUGUUUGGAGAAGUUCCCCAAACAUGUACAAGUGUCUUGUUUGGAGAAGUUCCCCAAGGAUAUUUCAAAGCGUCUUGUCCUGCUUCUAUUCCCGAUACUUACUACUGCUUGCAUUUCCUAUAUGAUGCCAAACAUGUGGUAGAAAUUUUGGGUUGCAAAUCCCAAUCUAUGAUUGACCUUUGAACAUCUCAUUCUUGCCAUCCUGCUUUGGCUCGUAUUGGAAAGCAAGGAAAUGGCACUUGAAGGCUCAAAUAGAAAGUUUUUGAGGGGAUCUCGGAAGUAGAUGAGUUUGGACGAUUCUCCCCACACCAAAAUACACUCACCCCAAGCUUCAGUGAUUUGCAGUUUUACUAAUUUUUGUUCUGGUGUCUCUACUUGUGUGUAUCUUGAUUUUGCUAAUCUUGUUAUAGCUUAGUAGCAUCAAUUUUUUAUGUACACUUUUUUUGUGGUCUGUAUG